UCCUUUUUUAAUCAGUCCAAUAUUAAUUUUAACCAUGGAAUGUUCUUGGGAGGAGACUCCGGACAUUCAACUUUUCCGGAGAGGAACUUGCGACAUUCCGUGGAUGCGCUGGGAGAAAAAGCCCUGCGCUGUUUGUUUUUGGGUACUGCAGUGGAUUAUGGACCCUGUUGUGCAUCCUGCUUCCUCUGGCUUCUGGUGAAGAUUCAGCGUUUCGUACAGUAAUCGUGUCUCAGCGCACUCCGUUUAACAGCACAACGAAAGCCCGCGGCUGUUUCUCCGUCCGCCCCCGACGGGAUGGGAAGACCGCCCAAAUUUCUUACUCUGUGUUAUUUUUUUAUUAUUUGCGAGCUCAGCGUCUUUGUAAAUAUAUAUUUUCCUAUUCUAUAGUGUCAUAGGCUAUAACAAACAUUGCAUAGUGUUUUUAUUCUCAUAAUGGUGAAUUUGCUUAUUUAUUGAAGGUGGAUGGGAAGCCCUGAGUUGACACAGAAACCUUAAAAAGGGGCAUUAUUCUAUUAAAAUAGCAGCGCGCAGAAGCAGCUGUGCCCUCAGUUGUCAGGCAACACCCUCCUCUGUACCUUCAUGACUGCAUACACUGUAAGUGUAAGGUUCCUGGCGCCCUGGCUUACACUAUUGGUUUCUGACACCAAGGAAAUAUUGCCGCUCUCUCAUUGUAAAGGCCAAUGCUGGAAUAAUUUAAAGGAGGCUGUUUCUAUACACUCACUCAUACACACACACACACACACACACAUACGUGCGCUCACACACACUUUAUCUCAAGCACGCACACACAGGGACAUGAGGGAUAAGUGCAUGUCUUCCAUGCAGGAAAGUUUUUGGAUGUCUUAGAGGUCUGCUUUUAUUUUGUAAUACUUGAAAACGAUAUAGAUGUGUACAUAUAUUAUAACCAUGCAUUUAACAUGAAUCAUAUUUAGCCCUUAAUAUACUUUGGAGGCAGUGAAAGCAGUGGACGGACAUGAGAGUCAUGGUAUUUGCUGUAUGUGUGUGCUAUGCAGUAUGUGCUGUUGUUGAAUGGAGUGUUAUAUUUGCUCAUGCUCACAGGCUCAGAAGCUGCUUGUGGGUUUGCAUUCUGAGGGUGAUUCUGUCCCUCCAUCCAAUCAGAGUGGUCCUAUUCAGCCACCGAUACAAUCAGUGUGGUCAUAUUCAGCCACAGCUACGGUCAGAGUGGUCCUAUUCAGCCACCGAUACGAUCAGUGUGGUCAUAUUCAGCUACAGGUAUGGUCAGAACGUUCAUAUUCAGCUACAGGUGCGGUCAGAAUGUUCAUAUUCAGCUACUGGUGCGGUCAGAACGGUCAUAUUCAGCCACAGCUACGAUCAGAGUGGUCAUAUUCAGCUGCCAAAAAAUUUGUUCAUGGCUCAGAUGUAAAAAUAUGUUGAAUAAUUAUCUUGGCAGCACAGCCAUGCCUUUUAAAUCACAUUUCUUUCACAUAUAAUAUACAGUAUUGCAGGUUAAACAAAUAUUAGGGAAACCAAAAUGGUAUUUAACUGCUCGGUCAGACAUCAUUAAAGGAGCAUUGUGCUGAAAUUAAACUCAAAAUGGUCCUGGUGGACGGGCCAAAGAACAUCAUAAACGCCAUAAACCGUCAUUAUGACUGGGGUUUAUGAAAUGGCAAAAAUAUUAGCAUUAUUUAAUAUCAGCAGCUGGAACUCUGCGCAUUUGCCUUGGGCGGUCUCGAACAGUGACUGCGCUCCCUCUGAAAACGAGCACCCUCGCUGUGUUUUGGCUCUUCUCCCGAGCUGAGACUGCUUUAUGGUUUUGGCCCCGCUGGGCAGACGUAAUUAGUGUACUCAGAGCAGUUGAGUACUCUGCUUAUGUCUUCCUGCUUAACUCCCUGGCUCUCUCACUGUGGCCCUUUCAAUGACCAAGGCUCUUAAUUUGUGCGACUAAUUCAAAAGUUCCAGUUUUUAAAAGUUUCCUACUUUUAAUUUGAGAUUUUCUGUUUUGUGUUGGUCGGUGUUACCCUUCUCAUUUCAGAAAGCAUAAAGACACAUUUUGUUAAUCUCUUUGGAGAUAGUUAUCAUUGAUAUAUUACCACUGAAUUUAUUUCUAUAACUCCGUAUUUCCUAUUUUUUGUGGUUAUGAUUUCCCUGCCUGUACAUAUUUUAAUAUGAUUAGAGGACCUGUGUGCAUUAAAUGGUAAAUGUUUAGCAUUUAUAUAGCGCCUUUAUCCAAAGCACUGUACAAAUGAUGCUUCUCAUUCACCAAUUCAUACACACACUCACUCACUCACACACCAACAGCGAUUGGCUGCCAUGCAAGGCACCAACCAGCUCGUCAGGAGCAUUUGGGGGUUAGGUGUCUUGCUCAGGGACACUUCGCCACACCCAGGGCAGGAUCGAACCGGCAACCCUCUGUCUGCUAGACGACUGCUCUUACCUCCUGAGCCAGUGUCGCCCUGCAUCUACUGGGGAGAUAAAAGCAAACAGUUUUCAUUCACAGGACUCGCCAUCACUACUGCAGGACCUAACAAAGGUUUAGCCUUUUAAUCAUUAUUCUGAACUCAUUUUCUCAAAGCAGAGAAUUAUUUAAUUAAUGUGUAAAAUGUAAAAUGGCUGUGCAUAGGAUCUACUCUUACAAAAACUUAUUCCACCCUUUUUUCCUUACAGUGUAUUCACGGUCUUGAAGGUAUAGAUGAAAUACAGCGAGGUCCGUAAGGGUUUGGACAGUGACACAAUUUUAAAAGUUCAUUCCUACACGGUUCACUCCAUAUGGAUGUAAAUACAUUCAAAUUAAAGUGCACUGUCUGCUUUAAUCUGAGGGUACGUACAUCUAUAUCGGGUGAACUGUCUGGGAAUUACAGCCGUUUAAAAUUGUCGCUGUCCGAAUACUUACAGACCUUACCGUAGCUGUUUUUCUGAAGUUGCGCUGUGUAAUUCAGCACAGUAGAUGCCUGUAAAAACUUCAAACAAAAUGGCGGCUAUGGCUGCUCCAUCAAGGCCUGGGUCAGCUGACACGUGCCCCUGUAAUGAGGAAGUGGAUCCGUGGCUGUGAUUUGGGUUCCUAUAUUAAUAUAUAUGUGUCUGUGAACACAUGCAUUCCUGGGCCUCUAUGUAUUGCUGAAACCUACUGUUGAGUGGCAAAAUGACAAUGGGGCUGAUGUCUGUGGGUAUGAAGUGAAAGUCUUAAAGUACGUACAGUGAAAUGGUCCACCUGAAAUUGACUCUGACAGAGUGUUGCAACUCAGAUAAUUGAGUACGCAUGGUCCCUCUGCUUGAGGUGGUUUAACACUGAGAAUUCUGCUGUGUGAGUCAGACAAAAGACAGGGAAGAGAGGGUGUUGUGUGUGUGCGUGUGUGUGUGCAUGUGUGAAUUACAGACAAUAUUGGAGUCGAGGUAUGCUUUGCAUGGAUGAUGAGGACUGGUGGAUGAUGUGCUUGAGGGUGGAGAUGAUGGUGGUGGGGGGUAACGAGAGGAGAUCAGUUAAUUUUCUGUACCAUUGUAAAUAUGGAAUCUAAAGUUCUGCAGAAUACAUGGAACCCCUUUUGAAAACGAUUGCAGUCCUUAAAAAUCAUGUCGCUUGGCUUUACUCCGUGUAAAUAAUCUUUCCAGAAGCAGUGUAUUUAUAAGGGUUAAGAAGGGCAAACCAUGUAUAGAUUGUCAUUAAUUGUCUGCCAUGUACUUUAUGAUGUAAAUGUGUUUUUAAAACUAAAAAGACAAAACACACUCCAAAAAAAUCACUGCUGUUAUUUUGGGUAUUUUGCGCUAAAGAUGAACCUGGAGGACAAAGUUUGGCAGUUUAAAAAAACAAAAAAAACAUUUGUACAAGUAUUCUAAAAGUACUUUCUUGUAUAUAUUGUGUUAGCAUGAAUAAACUGUGAUGUGGAUUUUAGAUGUAAAUACACACAUUUUUUCCUACUCACUUAACCGAUGUGGUGUGGAAAUCAUUAAUAAUGCCUAACAUUAAAGAUAAUGUUUUAUC